AUGCUUUCUUGGCAGGGGACAUACGGUGAUCACAAAGGUAGUUUUCUCAGGGCAAGGCUUAUCCAUUGCGCUAGAUGUGCUGACCCCUGCAAUUUCCCCAAUUGUGGGAAACUCAAUUGCAGAAUUUGUGGUAGUGUGGUAAAUGAAACAUU
rnacentral:snRNA from 1 species